rnacentral:rRNA from 1 species
AACGAACGCUGGCGGCAUGCCUAACACAUGCAAGUCGAACGAGACCUUCGGGUCUAGUGGCGCACGGGUGCGUAACGCGUGGGAACCUGCCCUUAGGUUCGGAAUAACUCCCCGAAAGGGGUGCUAAUACCGGAUAAUGUCUUCGGACCAAAGAUUUAUCGCCUUUGGAUGGGCCCGCGUUGGAUUAGCUAGUUGGUAGGGUAAAAGCCUACCAAGGCGACGAUCCAUGGCUGGUCUGAGAGGAUGAUCAGCCACACUGGGACUGAGACACGGCUCAGACUCCUACGGGAGGCAGCAGUGGGGAAUAUUGGACAAUGGGCGAAAGCCUGAUCCAGCAAUGCCGCGUGAGUGAUGAAGGCCUUAGGGUUGUAAAGCUCUUUUACCCGGGAUGAUAAUGACAGUACCGGGAGAAUAAGCUCCGGCUAACUCCGUG